rnacentral:tRNA from 1 species
GCGCGGGUGGCGGAAUUGGCAGACGCGCUAGCUUGAGGUGCUAGUACCCGUUCUAGGGUGUGGAGGUUCAAGUCCUCUCUCGCGCACAA